rnacentral:lncRNA from 1 species
GUUGUUAGCUAAUGGGGCCUUACUGAAAUCCCCAAACAACCCGGGCUGUUGCCAGUAAGCUGCUCUCUACAGACUGACAGCCAGGGUCCAUUAUUAAAGACAACACCCGCACAACUAAAUAGAAAUGGAGACGACGACGAGAUGGUGUUUACAUACAGCCUUAAUGCCUCCUACAUCCCAGCAUCUUUGUUACAGAAACUUACUCUGCAUGCUCUCAAAAGGGAAGCGUAAACGCCAAGGUGGCCCCCAAACUUCUCUCCAGUGAUGUCCUGCCUGCAAGACGACUAAGGCAAUGGUGGCGCAAAGCUUGUGGGAGCAAAUCACCAAUCAGUGCCUUGUUCAACCGUCCUCCGAGAAGCUUCCUCCUGUUGAAGAUGGGAACAAACACAAAGACCCACAGCCAGAUAUUAUGCAGAGAGUAGAGUCCUUGGAACACGAAGCCCUCAAUGGUUUACCACAAACAAAUCCCUCUCUCGAGAACCCAGUAAACCCCAAAGAAUACUAGGCAGAAAAGGGGUAAGAGCUAGAGAGGUUGGAGGACACCAAGAAAUCAAGGGCCUUUAAAUCAACAUGAGAACAACUCAUAGGAACUCAGAGACUGACACAGCACGGGACCUGCAGGAGUCUCCACCCAGUCCUCUGUCAAUAUAUUGCGGAUUCAAAUUUCGUGUGGUUUUAUGGAAUUCCUGAGUGUGAGAAUGAGUUUGUCUCUGAUUCUUCCAAGAUGUCAUAUAUGUCAGCAUAGCAUUGGUGUAGGUGCAUGCAUGGCACCCGGAACUGGAUGCUAU